rnacentral:rRNA from 1 species
GAUGAACGCUGACAGAAUGCUUAACACAUGCAAGUCAACCUUUGCCGGCCGCGUGAGUAACGCGUAAAUAACUUGCCUCACCGCUAGGGACAACAUUUGGAAACGAAUGCUAAUAUCUAAUCCUGUGUGAGAGCUUUGCGUCCCAUUAGCUCGUUGGAGAGGUAACGGCUCACCAAGGCGAUGAUGGGUAGCCGGCCUGAGAGGGUGAUCGGGCACAAAGGGACUGAGACACGGCCAUUACGCCUACGGGAGGCAUGAGUGGGGAAUAUAGGAAAAUAGACCGAAGUAUGAUCAAGCAAUUAUGGGUGCAAGAUAAAGUUGUCGGGAGGAAAAGGGCUUUCAGUUGAGAAGCGGUACCAGCAGAAGAAGUAACGGCUAAAUACGUGCCAGCAGCCGCGGUAAUAC